CCUACGGGAGGCAGCAGUGAGGAAUAUUGGUCAAUGGGCGGGAGCCUGAACCAGCCAAGCCGCGUGAGGGAAGAAGGUACAGCGUAUCGUAAACCUCUUUUGUCAGGGAACAAAGGCGGGGACUAGUCCCCGGAUGAGGGUACCUGAAGAAAAAGCAUCGGCUAACUCCGUGCCAGCAGCCGCGGUAAUACGGAGGAGGCAAGCGUUAUCCGGAAUGACUGGGCGUAAAGGGUGCGUAGGUGGUUUGGCAAGUUAGUAGCGUAAUUCCGGGGCUCAACUUCGGAACUACUACUAAAACUGCUGGGCUUGAGUGCAGGAGGGGCAUAUGGAAUGCCUAGUGUAGCGGUGGAAUGCGUAGAUAUUAGGAGGAACACCAGUGGCGAAGGCGAUAUGCUGGACUGUAACUGACACUGAGGCACGAAAGCGUGGGGAGCAAACAGGAUUAGAUACCCGAGUAGUC
rnacentral:rRNA from 1 species